rnacentral:rRNA from 1 species
CCUACGGGCGGCAGCAGUGGGGAAUCUUGCACAAUGGGGGAUACCCUGAUGCAGCAACGCCGCGUGAGUGAAGAAGUAUUUCGGUACGUAAAACUCUAUCAGCAGGGAAGAAAAUGACGGUACCUGACUAAGAAGCCCCGGCUAACUACGUGCCAGCAGCCGCGGUAAUACGUAGGGGGCAAGCGUUAUCCGGAUUUACUGGGUGUAAAGGGAGCGUAGACGGCAGCGCAAGUCUGGAGUGAAAUCCCAUGGCUUAACCAUGGAACUGCAUUGGAAACUGUGCAGCUAGAGUGCAGGAGAGGUAAGCGGAAUUCCUAGUGUAGCGGUGAAAUGCGUAGAUAUUAGGAGGAACACCAGUGGCGAAGGCGGCUUACUGGACUGUAACUGACGCUGAGGCUCGAAAGCGUGGGGAGCAAACAGGAUUAGAUACCCGAGUAGUC